UAGUCAACCAUCCGCCUCUGCUCUAUAAAAGCAACAUAGCUCUAUAAAAGCAACAUACGGCUGAAUUUGUUAUGCACAUUGCGUUAGAACAUCAUUCUACGUACAGUGCAAACACACAGUGAUUUAACAGUCAUGCCUAGAUCUAUGUCUAUUUUGGUAUGGUUGUCCAUGGUUCUUUAUCUGACCAUAGCUUUGGCAGACACUUUGUCCGAAGAUUCUAAACGAUUAUGGACUGCUGGAGAUUUGAUUGAACCAAGAUUGAAGAAACCGGCCUGUACUAAAAGCCCAUGGCGAGCAUGUUCACUAUACGGCAAAACUGAUGGUUACCUACCUUGUUGUUCAAGCUACGUGUGCUUUUCUACAUCUUCGAAUCCUGUAGGACUUUGCAAGUUUCAGCGGCGGAUCUUGCACCCUCAGUUGGCCAAAUAAAUUUUAAAAUUGUCAAUGCAAAUCAAUGUUAUGUGCUACUCACUUACCUAUUCUGAAACUGUUGUCUUGAAUUAUUAAUAGUAUGACAUAUUUAACGAUUCCAGAGAGGAUAGACGUGUAGUGAUGCAGUGAGGUAUAAGAAGGAAAUGAACGAAUAAUGGUCAGAGUAGAAAGCAGUGUCUUAUACACAAGAGUAAUAGUGACUGAAUUGCUACUGUCAAGAAUUUCUCCUGUCUCAAAUUUUCAACAAUUCCAGACUCAAAAAUAAACGAUAAACUUGCAAAACAGU